AGAGUUUGAUCCUGGCUCAGGAUGAACGUUGGCGGUGUGCCUAAUACAUGCAAGUCGAACGGAGUCAGUAGCAAUAUUGGCUCAGUGGCGAACGGGUGAGUAACGCGUUGGUGAUCUGCCUUGAAGUGUGGAAUAACGUUUCGAAAGAGACGCUAAUACCGCAUGUGCUCUCGAUUUUUAGAAAGUUGAGAGUAAAGGAUUUAUUCGCUUCAAGAGGAGCCUGCGUCCCAUCAGCUGGUUGGUAGGGUAACGGCCUACCAAGGCUAUGACGGGUAGGGGACCUGAGAGGGUGGCCCCCCACAAUGGAACUGAAACACGGUCCAUACACCUACGGGUGGCAGCAGUAGGGAAUAUUAGAAAUGGACGAAAGUCUGAUCUAGCAACACCGCGUGUGCGAAGAAGGCCUUCGGGUCGUAAAGCACUUUUUGGAAGGAAUAGGAAGGAAUGUACUUCCAGAAUAAGUCUCGGCUAACUACGUGCCAGCAGCCGCGGUAACACGUAGGAGGCAAACGUUAUCCGGAUUUACUGGGCGUAAAGCGCGUGUAGGUGGUACUGUAAGUAGGGCGUGAAAGCUCCUGGCUCAACUGGGAGAGGCCGUUCUAAACUACAGAACUAGAGGAUGGUAGAGGGAGGUGGAAUUCC
rnacentral:rRNA from 1 species